rfam:Camelus ferus unplaced genomic scaffold scaffold237, whole genome shotgun sequence.
GAGGGUAUAGCUCAGUGGUAGAGUUUGUGCUUAGCAGGCACCAGGUCCUGAGUUCAAUCUCCAGUCCCUCCA